rnacentral:tRNA from 1 species
GGUGGCUCAGUGGUAGAGCUCUUGCCUAGCACGUAGAAAGCCCUGGGUUCAAUCCUCAGCACCU